AGACCAAACAGGAGCAGGAGGAGCCUGAGAAGCUGUUUGUCCUGGCCGUAACCAUUAAAGAUGAACAUGUAAACGUGGACCUGUCACUAACACUCACAGUUGCAUCUCCCGUCUCCAGGGAGGGCAAGACGGUUUCACGCAGCUGGUUUCAGUCGCCC